AACGAACGCUGGCGGCAUGCCUAACACAUGCAAGUCGAACGAGACCUUCGGGUCUAGUGGCGCACGGGUGCGUAACGCGUGGGAACCUGCCCUUAGGUUCGGAAUAACUCCCCGAAAGGGGUGCUAAUACCGGAUAAUGUCUUCGGACCAAAGAUUUAUCGCCUUUGGAUGGGCCCGGGUUGGAUUAGCUAGUUGGUAGGGUAAAAGCCUACCAAGGCGACGAUCCAUAGCUGGUCUGAGAGGAUGAUCAGCCACACUGGGACUGAGACACGGCCCAGACUCCUACGGGAGGCAGCAGUGGGGAAUAUUGGACAAUGGGCGAAGGCCUGAUCCAGCAAUGCCGCGUGAGUGAUGAAGGCCUUAGGGUUGUAAAGCUCUUUUACCCGGGAUGAUAAUGACAGUACCGGGAGAAUAAGCACCGGCUAACUCCGUG
rnacentral:rRNA from 1 species